rnacentral:rRNA from 1 species
GACGAACGCUGGCGGCGUGCUUAACGCAUGCAAGUCGAGCGGUAAGGCCCUUUCGGGGGUACGACGAGCGGCGAACGGGUGAGUAACACGUGGGUGACCUGCCCUCAGCUCUGGGAUAAGCCUGGGAAACCGGGUCUAAUACCGGAUAUGACUCCAUGACGCAUGUUGUGGGGUGGAAAGCCUUGUGCGGCUGAGGAUGGGCCCGCGGCCUAUCAGCUUGUUGGUGGGGUGAUGGCCUACCAAGGCGACGACGGGUAGCCGGCCUGAGAGGGCGACCGGCCACACUGGGACUGAGACACGGCCCAGACUCCUACGGGAGGCAGCAGUGGGGAAUCUUGCGCAAUGGGCGAAAGCCUGACGCAGCGACGCCGCGUGAGGGAUGACGGCCU